rnacentral:misc_RNA from 1 species
AAGUCGUAACAAGGUUUCCGUAGGUGAACCUGCGGAAGGAUCAUUAACACGUAUCCAACGUUAAACCCCCCUGUGAACUUUAAGCGCAGCUCUUGCAGCCUCUAUAGGAACAGCAAUCCUGGUAAAUCAGCCCGAGAAAAGCUUUGAUUCAGGACCUCUGUCUAAAAGGAUGCAAUCGAGCGCUGGAGUAAGUGGCUUGGUUUCCCCAAGCAGUUAGCAUUCUGACAGUGUUGCUAAUUGUGUAAGAAUAGGCCGAACACCGGCCGGCGACUCGGCCACCGGGCUCACGCCCCCUAGAGAAAACCGAACAACUGUUAACAAUGGAUAUCUUGGUUCUC